GAUGAACGCUAGCGACAGGCUUAACACAUGCAAGUCGAGGGGCAGCACGGGAGUAGCAAUACAACUGGUGGCGACCGGCGCACGGGUGAGUAACGCGUAUGCAACCUACCUAUCAGAGGGGAAUAACCCGGCGAAAGUCGGACUAAUACCGCAUAAAACAGGGGCACCGCAUGGUGAUAUUUGUUAAAGAAAUUCGCUGAUAGAUGGGCAUGCGUUCCAUUAGGUAGUUGGUGAGGUAACGGCUCACCAAGCCGACGAUGGAUAGGGGAACUGAGAGGUUGGUCCCCCACACUGGUACUGAGACACGGACCAGACUCCUACGGGAGGCAGCAGUGAGGAAUAUUGGUCAAUGGGCGGGAGCCUGAACCAGCCAAGUCGCGUGAAGGAAGAAGGAUCUAUGGUUCGUAAACUUCUUUUGCAGGGGAAUAAAGUGCAGGACGUGUCCUGUUUUGUAUGUACCCUGAGAAUAAGGAUCGGCUAACUCCGUGCCAGCAGCCGCCGUAAAAC
rnacentral:rRNA from 1 species